GACCUCAAAUCAGGUAGGGACACCCGCUGAACUUAAGCAUAUCAAUAAGCGGAGGAAAAGAAAAUAACAAUGAUUCCCCUAGUAACUGCGAGUGAAGAGGGACAAGCUCAAAUUUUAAAUCUGUUAGGUUAUCACCUGGCCGAGUUGUAAUUUGAAGAAGCGUUUUCUGCGCUCUUGAUCAGCCCAAGUCCUAUUGAAUGAGGCAUCAUGGAGGGUGAUAAUCCCGUCCGGUUGAUCAAUGCGUUUUACGAUACGCUUUCAAAGAGUCAAGUUGUUUGGGAUUUGCAGCUUAAAAUGGGGAGGUAAAUUUCUCCUAAGGCUAAAUAUUGGCGAGAGACCGAUAGCGAACAAGUACCGUGAGGGAAAGAUGAAAAGAACUUUGAAAAGAGAGUAAAAUAGUGCGUGAAAUUGUUGAAAGGGAAACGAUUGAAGUCAGUCGUAMCGAUGGACAAUCAGCCUUUUGAGUGCGAUUCUGUGGGGCAUGAGGAGGUAACCCUCGUGUUUUGCAUAUUUGUGCUCUUUGGGUGUAUUUGUUCGUAUGGUGGGUUAACAUCAAUUUUGGUCGUCAUAAAAUGACGGGAGGAAUGUAGCUUUGGUCUCGUAUUGAAGUGUUAUAGCCUCUGGUAGAUGUGACGACCGGGAUUGAGGAUUGCAACGGAUACCCCUCGGGGCUACUCGCCUGAUCUCUGAUCGUUACUCUGGUGCCGAAAGCUUGCUUAUGUCAUCAAAGUUGAUGGUCAAAAGGUUAGAACGGGUUAAAUUCGUUAAGGAUGUUGACGUAAUGGCUUUAAACGACCCGUCUUGAAACACGGACCAAGGAGUCUAACAUAUGUGCGAGUGUUUGGGUGAUAAAACCCGGAACGCGUAAUUAAAGUGAUUCUGGUGGGAACCCUUCGGGGUGCACCAUCGACCGAUCAGGAUAUUCUUUGAUAGAUUUGAGUAAGAGCA
rnacentral:rRNA from 1 species